ACUCCUACGGGAGGCAGCAGUGGGGAAUAUUGGACAAUGGGGGCAACCCUGAUCCAGCCAUGCCGCGUGAGUGAUGACGGCCUUAGGGUUGUAAAGCUCUUUUCUCCGGGACGAUAAUGACGGUACCGGAGGAAUAAGCCCCGGCUAACUUCGUGCCAGCAGCCGCGGUAAUACGGAAGGGGGCUAGCGUUGCUCGGAAUCACUGGGCGUAAAGGGCGCGUAGGCGGCUGAUUUAGUCGAGGGUGAAAGCCCGUGGCUCAACCACGGAAUGGCCUUCGAUACUGAUUGGCUUGAGACCGGAAGAGGACAGCGGAACUGCGAGUGUAGAGGUGAAAUUCGUAGAUAUUCGCAAGAACACCAGUGGCGAAGGCGGCUGUCUGGUCCGGUUCUGACGCUGAGGCGCGAAAGCGUGGGGAGCAAACAGGAUUAGAUACCCUGGUAGCGACUGA
rnacentral:rRNA from 1 species